GCUUCUGGGUAGGGGCGCUGGUGGGGGAGGGGAGGAGGGAAAGGCUUCGCGGAGAGGCGGCGGAGACGGGCAGAGGUUUCCCUUCCCCUCACGCGCACACACCGCGCAAGAUGGCCGGGCGGGCAGCAGCUGCAGCCCGCCGCUCCUCCGUGAACGCGGCGCCCGCCGGCCCUCAGAGGGGCUACCCCGGCCUGAGGCGUUCGCCCGCUCGGGGGGGGCUUCGGCCCGGCCUUCUGUGUGGGGGGGUCUCUUAUUCCCGUCAGAAAGAGCCGCGGGGAGGACGAAUGAGCCCGCCCGGGGUGGCCGGGCUCCGUCCCCGCCGCCCUGCGCCUUCCCAGGCCGCCCCCCGGCUCCCCCGUUUGGUUUUCGGUCGAGGAUGGUAUUCACUGAAUGUUCAUGCCUGCGAUUACCGAUGACUUUGAGGAACUAUAGAAUCUGUAUUCAAUAGAUUGCCUCGGGUUCUGCUAAUUGGGCAUUUCAUGUGGACCUACAGGAGGAAAUACAGUAUCCUAUGAACUGUCAGAUAACGUUGACGACUUGAAUGUAUGAAAGCUGUUUCUGGCAGAAGCACUGAGUCCAGACAAAGGAAGAAUCUCAAAGGGGAGACCACGAGUUCAAACCAAGAUGGCAGUUCCACUGAUUGAGAGGUUGAGAAAAUGAACUAAUGCAUGGUUGCUGAGUAUAUCCACUUUAGCAUGGACUACGCUGUUGUCUAAACCAGAGAAGAUUGGGGUUCAUGGCCAACUCACAGAUUAUUUUUUAAAUUAAAUGUUUUGAGUCUUGUAUUAAUACAACUCUCUUGGGGCGGCGGAACUGACUUGCUGAAUUCUGGUACCAGGAAUGUGUGUGUACAUGCAUGUUUAGCUCCUGUCUAUUGGCAGAAGUGCAAUGCAAACGCAAAUUAUUUUAAUAAAAGUUUUUUACAUUUUUA